rnacentral:rRNA from 1 species
GAUGAACGCUGGCGGCGUGCUUAACACAUGCAAGUCGAACGGAAAGGCCCUGCGUGCAGUGUACUCGAGUGGCGAACGGGCGAGUAACACGCGGGUGGUCUGCCCUCCACUUCGGCAUAAGCUUCGUCAACUGGGCCUAAUACCGAAUAGGAGCUAUCUUUAGCGUGGUGGUUGAAAAGUUUUUUCGGUGUAGGAUGAGCUCGCGGCCUAUCAGCUUGUUGGUGUGGUAAUGGCCUACGAAGGCGGCGACGGGUAGCCGACCUGGGUGGGUGUACAGCGACAUUGGGACUGAGAUACGGAGCAGAAUGCUACGGGAGGCAGCGGUGGGGAGUCUUGCACAGUGAGCGCGCGUGUGAUGCGGAGACGCCGGGUGGGUGAUGCACGCUUUCGGGUUAUAAACAACUUUCGCUAGGGACGAAGCUUUUUGUGACGGUACCUAGAUAAGAAGCACCGGCUAACUACGU